CAGUCGAACGAGAGAAGAUCGGUGCUUGCACUGAUCCGAUCGAGUGGCGGCCUUGUGAGUAACGCGUGGGUAACCUGCCUCAUACAGGGGAAUCAUUGUUGGAAACGGCUGCUAAAACCGCAUAAGCGCACAGUAUCGCAUGAUACAGUGUGAAAAACUCCGGUGGUAUGAGAUGGACCCGCGUCUGAUUAGCUAGUUGGUGAGGUAACGGCCCACCAAGGCAACGAUCAGUAGCCGGCCUGAGAGGGUGAACGGCCACAUUGGGACUGAGACACGGCCCAAACUCCUACGGGAGGCAGCAGUGGGGAAUAUUGCACAAUGGGGGAAACCCUGAUGCAGCGACGCCGCGUGAGUGAUGAAGUAUUUCGGUAUGUAAAGCUCUAUCAGCAGGGAAGAUAAUGACGGUACCUGACUAAGAAGCACCGGCUAAAUACGUGCCAGCAGCCGCGGUAAUUCGUAUGGUGCAAGCGUUAUCCGGAUUUACUGGGUGUAAAGGGUGCGUAGGUGGUGAGACAAGUCUGAAGUGAAAAUCCGGGGCUUAACCCCGGAACUGCUUUGGAAACUGCCUGACUAGAGUACAGGAGAGGUAAGUGGAAUUCCUAGUGUAGCGGUGAAAUGCGUAGAUAUUAGGAGGAACACCAGUGGCGAAGGCGACUUACUGGACUGCUACUGACACUGA
rnacentral:rRNA from 1 species